rnacentral:misc_RNA from 1 species
AAUGUGGUGUAGGUUAGUUAUGUAAUUUUAUAGGCUUUUUUAUUGUAUGUAUCCGAACGCAAAUUCCGGACGAACCGAUAAUUUGUCACUGUCAAAUGCCUGCGUGUUGCGUCGUGACUCUUGCCUUGCUUGAGCCAUUUUGUUUUUGGGGAAACCAAAAGAAGAUCAAGUUGUGAAGUUGAUAGUAAUAAAAUAAUAUCGUGAAGUUUCCGUAAUGAACAACAAAGAUUUCGUAAUGAAAAACAAUGAGAAAAAUGAUAACAUGGAUUUAUUUGAAUAUAUAAGAGUUAGCGAAGACGAAGAUGAAUCUAAUGCCGUCGAAAUACCAUGCGAGUUGGAUGGCACUCUCCUAUUGUCGACACUUGUGGCUCAGUUCCCAGGGGCUUGCGGUCUCAAAUAUCGUCACCCCGAGACUAAAUCUAUUCGCGGCAUUCGUCUUAGCGAUGGCAGGCUGCAUUCACCCGGUGAAGUCGGUUGGGGAAAAUACCUCUAUAUUUGCGUUUUUCCUAAAGAAAACAAGCGCAAGAUGGAAGAUGUAUCACCUGAAAAUUCAGCUGCAAAAACGAAGCGCUUAGAGAAGAAGCUUGCAUGUUCAGAUCUCAUCUGCCUAGGACUACCGUGGAAGUCAACAGAGGAGUCUAUCAGGCAGUACUUUGAACAAUUUGGAGAAGUUGUUAUGGUUCAGCUAAAGAGAGAUAAAAAUGGGUCAUUCAAGGGAUUUGGUUUCAUCCGUUUUGCUACAUAUGCUUCACAAAUGAGAGCACUAGCACAGAGGCACAACAUUGACGGUCGCUGGGUUGAUGUACGCAUCCCUAAUUCAAAAGAAGGUGUAGUACCACAGAUGCCAUGCAAAGUGUUUGUUGGAAGGUGUACUGAAGAUAUGACUGCUGAUGACCUCAGGGAGUAUUUUUCUAAGUUUGGGGAAGUAACAGAUGUCUUUGUCCCUCGUCCAUUUAGGGCAUUUGGAUUUGUUACUUUUCUGGAUCCUGAAGUAGCUCAGAGCUUGUGUGGAGAAGAUCAUGUAAUUAAAGGAGCUUCUGUAUCAGUUUCUAGUGCUGCACCAAAAAUAAAAAGUAAACCAAAUCACAACUGGAAAGAAGAUUCUUAUGGACCUAACUGGGAAGCAAAUAGAUCGGGCCCUUCUAGCGGUUCAGGAAACAGUGGUGGAAGCAGUAACAUUGACUCUCUGAACAUGCAGAAUUUGGGAAUCAAUCCAAAUGGUGGACCACCAGCUAAUUUUAAUUUGCCUAUAAGUCUUGUAGCUGCUGCUCUGAAUCAGGCCGGAUGGGGAGGAUUUCUAGGAGGACCUAACAACUCUGGCCCUAAUUGGCAAGGAGGCCCUCCACAAGGUAACUCUGGUAAAAAUUGGAACAGUAAUCAAAACUGGAGCCAAAAUGGCCCACCUCCAUCAUGGAAUCAGGGGGGAGGCAGUAACCAGGGCUGGAGCAGUAAAGGUGGUGGCAACUGGAAUCAAGGGAAUUGGUCAAAUGGACAACAAGGGCAAGGCAGCUGGGGCGGGAAUGGUUCUGGGCCAGCUGGCUCUGGCGGAUGGAACAACAAGUCACAGACUUGAGUAGCUUUAAAAGUGGAUAAAAGGGCUAAUCAAGAGUGCUGAAUGCUGGAUGACACGGUGAUCGAGUGACUUGGCCAAGUUUGUGGCUUAAGCUGGAAAGGGGCUUCAGGACAUCUAACGUUAUGUGAUGCUAUUAGCGCCGGCUGGUUGUUGCAAAUAAGUUUACGCGCUAUUAAAGCAAAGAAAGAAGAGUUUGCUGACCAAAUCUGCUGGAACUGAAGAACAUCCAAAAGUGAGAACAACAAUAUAAGAUGAAAAACUUAAGUAAUUGAAACAUAAAUCAAUAAACAUCUUUUAUUGUAGAA